AGAUUGAACGCUGGCGGCAUGCUUUACACAUGCAAGUCGAACGGUAACAGGCCGCAAGGUGCUGACGAGUGGCGAACGGGUGAGUAAUGUAUCGGAACGUGCCCAGUCGUGGGGGAUAACGCAGCGAAAGCUGCGCUAAUACCGCAUACGAUCUAUGGAUGAAAGCGGGGGACCGUAAGGCCUCGCGCGAUUGGAGCGGCCGAUAUCAGAUUAGGUAGUUGGUGGGGUAAAGGCUCACCAAGCCAACGAUCUGUAGCUGUCUGAGAGGACGACCAGCCA
rnacentral:rRNA from 1 species